UUAGGAAUCUUGGACAAUGGGCGCAAGCCUGAUCCAGCCAUGCCGCGUGAGCGAUGAAGGCCUUCGGGUUGUAAAGCUCUUUAGCCGACGAAUAUAAUGACUGUAGUCGGAGAAUAAGCCCCGGCUAACUUCGUGCCAGCAGCCGCGGUAAUACGAAGGGGGCGAGCGUUGUUCGGAAUCACUGGGCGUAAAGAGUGCGUAGGCGGUCAUGACAGUUAGGAGUGAAAGCCCAGGGCUUAACCUUGGAAUUGCUUUUAAUACUACAUGACUCGAAUUCGGGAGAGGAUAGCGGAAUUGUCAGUGUAGCAGUGAAAUGCGUAGAUAUUGACAGGAACACCAGUGGCGUAAGCGGCUAUCUGGACCGACAUUGACGCUGAGGCACGAAAGCGUGGGGAUCAAACAGG
rnacentral:rRNA from 1 species